CCUACGGGAGGCAGCAGUGAGGAAUAUUGGUCAAUGGGCGUAAGCCUGAACCAGCCAAGUCGCGUGAGGGAUGAAGGUUCUAUGGAUCGUAAACCUCUUUUAUAAGGGAAUAAAGUGCGGGACGUGUCCCGUUUUGUAUGUACCUUAUGAAUAAGGAUCGGCUAACUCCGUGCCAGCAGCCGCGGUAAUACGGAGGAUCCGAGCGUUAUCCGGAUUUAUUGGGUUUAAAGGGUGCGUAGGCGGCCUUUUAAGUCAGCGGUGAAAGUCUGUGGCUCAACCAUAGAAUUGCCGUUGAAACUGGGAGGCUUGAGUUCGUGAGAGGCAGGCGGAAUGCGUGGUGUAGCGGUGAAAUGCUUAGAUAUCACGCAGAACCCCGAUUGCGAAGGCAGCCUGCUAAGCCAUGACUGACGCUGAUGCACGAAAGCGUGGGGAUCAAACAGGAUUAGAUACCCGAGUAGUC
rnacentral:rRNA from 1 species